rnacentral:rRNA from 1 species
AGUGAACGCUGGCGGUAGGCCUAACACAUGCAAGUCGAACGGCAGCACAGUAAGAGCUUGCUCUUACGGGUGGCGAGUGGCGGACGGGUGAGGAAUACAUCGGAAUCUACUUUUUCGUGGGGGAUAACGUAGGGAAACUUACGCUAAUACCGCAUACGACCUACGGGUGAAAGCAGGGGAUCUUCGGACCUUGCGCGAUUGAAUGAGCCGAUGUCGGAUUAGCUAGUUGGCGGGGUAAAGGCCCACCAAGGCGACGAUCCGUAGCUGGUCUGAGAGGAUGAUAAGCCACACUGGAGCUGAGACACGGUCCAGACUCCUACGGGAGGCAGCAGUGGGGAAUAUUGGACAAUGGGCGCAAGCCUGAUCCAGCCAUACCGCGUGUGUGAAGAAGGCCUUCGGGUUGUAAAGCCCUUUUGUUGGGAAAGAAAAGCAGCAGGUUAAUACCCCGCUGUUCUGACGGUACCCAAAGAAUAAGCACCGGCUAACUUCGUG